GACGAACGCUGGCGGCGUGCUUAACACAUGCAAGUCACGGGGGUCUCGCAAGAGAUAACCGGCGAACGGGUGCGUAACACGUGAGCGACCUGCCUUUCUGCGGGGGAUAGCCGGCCCAACGGCCGGGUAAUACCGCAUACGCUCUGCCUGGGGCAUCCCGGGCGGAGGAAACUUCCGGGGCGGAGAGAGGGGCUCGCGGCCUAUCAGCUAGUAGGUGCGGUGACGGCGCACCAAGGCGACGACGGGUAGCUGGUCUGAGAGGAUGGCCAGCCACAUUGGGACUGAGAGACGGCCCAGACUCCUACGGGAGGCAGCAGUGGGGAAUAUUGCGCAAUGGCCGCAAGGCUGACGCAGCGACGCCGCGUGUGGGAGGACGCCCCUCGGGGUGUAAACCACUGUUGCCCGGGACGAACCCCCUGUUUAGACAGGGCUGACGGUACCGGGUGAGGAAGCACCGGCUAACUCCGUGCCAGCAGCCGCGGUAAUACGGAGGGUGCGAGCGUUGUCCGGAAUCACUGGGCGUAAAGGGCGCGUAGGCGGCGCGGGAAGCGUGCGGUGAAAGCCCGGGGCUCAACCCCGGGUCGGCCGUGCGAACUGCCGGGCUCGAGCACUGUAGGGGCAGGCGGAAUUCCGGGUGUAGCGGUGGAAUGCGUAGAGAUCCGGAAGAACACCGGUGGCGAAGGCGGCCUGCUGGGCAGUGGCUGACGCUGAGGCGCGACAGCGUGGGGAGCAAACAGGAUUAGAUACCCUGGUAGUCCACGCCGUAAACGAUGGGCACUAGGUGCUCGGGGGAGCGACCCUCCGAGUGCCGGCGCUAACGCAUUAAGUGCCCCGCCU
rnacentral:rRNA from 1 species